rnacentral:rRNA from 1 species
CACGUAGGGCGCAAGCGUUGUCCGGAAUUAUUGGGCGUAAAGAGCUCGUAGGUGGUUUGUUACGUCUGCUGUGAAAUCCCAGGGCUUAACCCUGGGCUUGCAGUGGAUACGGGCAGACUAGAGGUAGGUAGGGGAGAAUGGAAUUCCUGGUGUAGCGGUGAAAUGCGCAGAUAUCAGGAGGAACACCGGUGGCGAAGGCGGUUCUCUGGGCCUUACCUGACACUGAGGAGCGAAAGCGUGGGGAGCGAACAGG